rnacentral:lncRNA from 1 species
CUCCGCUUGUUUUGUCUGAUAGGACCGUUAUCUGCUCUAUCGGAUGCUAAUUAAGUGGUGCUGGUGCGGCGUACUCACACGUGGAUUUUCUAUAGAUCGGAGAGGGUAUGAAUAAAAUUUGUUUACUUGCGUCGAAUAUUUUCUAGCGGAGGGGAAAGCAGUUGGGAUUGCUAUGCAGGUAAGGUUCUCCUCAUCCCUUCUUUUCCUAUUUUUCAC